rnacentral:lncRNA from 1 species
GUGAUGUCUGUACAUACUAACUUAAAAGAACAUAAUUUUUUUUGUCGGUACGCACAUUGCUCUUUGUUACCAUGGCCACAACUCAAAAAAAGAGAAGAAGAAAAAGAUAAACUAGAACUGAGAACAAUUUUUUUUUUUUUUUAAAGAACAGUAAUAGUAACACAGAACAGGAUAAAAGGAAGUGUGUUAUACUAAACACAGGAAGUAUGUGUUCCCCAAAGCGUUCUCCCUCAUGCAAUAUUAAAUUAUAGCACUCACGGCUGAGCAGAAGGAUAAUAAGCAAAGACAAAUCAUUAUUCAAAAGCUUUCAGCAGAAGUUACACGCAGCACAUAUUACAAUUGGAAAAAGGACUUAUACAACACAUCAAAAUGAGCGACCACACACACAAAUUGCUAAGAUCUUUUCGGUGACAAUAACAACUUCAAAUGAAUAGCAGCUGGCAAAGUAAUCAAGUACUGGUGAGCCCAGAAUUAAGAACUCUGGACUUGUGCAAUAGAAAAUGGAAAUAUAUUUUUUCCAGGUGCAUACUCGUAGAAGUUACCAAGUCAGUAGUAGGGAUCGUUUCUCAGAUUUUCUCUCAAAUGUCAAAAGUCUCUGAUUCAAUCUGCAUCAAGCGAUCUCCUCAUUGGUGAAACAAUCAUUUGUUUCCUCUAUUAUAGUUUUUAUGCUAACAGAGGCUACUGAAGUGUUUGCCACCAUCCAAGGUAACCUAAUAUGAUUUUAUGGUGCAUCAUCUUCAACUCUCUUGGGGUUCACAAUUUUUAAGAAAAUUUCAAACCAAAAGGUAUUGUCAACAUUGCUUCUUUAAGUGUUAUUUUAUGUUUUAAUAUCAAUUUGGCACUUCAUAAUAGCAUAUUACUGAGCUCAUUUGUGCCAUCUCAUUAAUAUAAGCAACACUUUGCAUCAGCAGUGAACCAAAGCUGGAUGAACAUCUGUGGCCAACUUAAAUCAAUGCAGGUAGUGAAUCUGUUUUAUUAAUUUUCUUAAAGACACAAGUAGUAAGAUUAAGUAUAGUUAAUGAAGAUAGGCAAUCAAAAGUAAUGUUCAUUUUCUAUUACAUGGACACCAAAAAGUUGUUCUAGAUUAACGUGUAUGUGUUCUGCGGCAGUGGUAAUCAACACCAUGUGCAUUAUGACAUAUUUGAUAAGGAGUGGACAAUAAACUUUUCAAGCAAUCAAAUUAGGUUGGACAUGAAAUUCCACUGUGAAUUUGAGAUGGAUAGGUCUUGGCACUCCCUGAUAUUGUGAAUUUAAGUUAUUAGUGCAAGUAUAUUAUCAUAAGAUAUACCUGUCCACUGCAGUGGUUUUGUCCAUUUUAUUACUUGGGCAUGAGUUUGCAUAUCUUUAGUAACACAUGAGCAUACUCUAUUUAUGUGGUAUUCAUGUACUAAUAUUUUUUAAGGGUAUGUGUGGAUAAAUUAAACUCAAUCCAUAGUCCGCAGGUAAAAUCAAGGAGGCACAAAGCAUGUGCCCGAGAAACCUCAGCUUUGACAGUACAUAUUUUUUCUCGAAUAAACACAAGAUGGAGAUUUUCCUUUGUCUAGUUACAUGUGUUAUGAUGAUAGGAGAGUCUUUGGAAGACACCAUAGCGCAUUUGUUUAGACAUUAAUGUGCCAGAAAGAGAGAAUGCAAAGUAUCAUGAGAGUACUAGUGAAUUCCAAGUAAAGAAAUGAAAAGAUAACUGAAAGAAUUUCAGACCAGAGGCCAGCUUAAUAGGGUAAAUUAAGAAGUAGAAAUAUAGGAAAUAUUGUUUACCAGAAGUUGGCAUCAUGUAAAUUGAA